UACGGGGGGGGCAAGCGUUGUUCGGAAUUACUGGGCGCAAAGGGCGCGUAGGCGGCCUUCUCAGUCAGACGUGAAAUCCCCGGGCUUAACUCGGGAACUGCGUCUGAUACUGGAAGGCUGGAGUUCGGGAGAGGGAUGUGGAAUUCCAGGUGUAGCGGUGAAAUGCGUAGAUAUCUGGAGGAACACCGGUGGCGAAGGCGGCAUCCUGGACCGAAACUGACGCUGAGGCGCGAAAGCCAGGGGAGCAAACGGG
rnacentral:rRNA from 1 species